rnacentral:rRNA from 1 species
UACGUAGGGUGCAAGCGUUGUCCGGAAUUAUUGGGCGUAAAGAGCUCGUAGGCGGUCUGUCACGUCGGCUGUGAAAUCCCGAGGCUCAACCUCGGGUCUGCAGUCGAUACGGGCAAACUAGAGUAUUGCAGGGGAGACUGGAAUUCCUGGUGUAGCGGUGAAAUGCGCAGAUAUCAGGAGGAACACCGGCGGCGAAGGCGGGUCUCUGGGCCAUAACUGACGCUGAGGAGCGAAAGCUAGGGGAGCAAACGGG